AUGGCCAUCACCGACCGACGUGUGAACCCCAGCUGGGAGGUGAUCAUUGUCUAUGGCCCGGUUGAUCACGGGCGGUCGGUGGGUUUCCUGGCCGAGCUGCAGGAUAAGGUUGAACGGUGCACGUUCCCAGUGGUGGUGGCGGGCGACUUCAACCUUAUCAGAACGGAGGCUGACAAAAGCUCGCCCAACAUUGUCCGACGGCGUAUGCGCAUGUUCAAUGAUGCCAUAGCUGCGAUGGCCCUCCGUGAGAUAGCCCGCGUAGGGGCUAGGUUCACAUGGACCAAUAAACAGGUGGACCCUAUACGGAGCGUGCUGGAUCGGGUCCUUGUGUCCGUGCAGUGGGAGGUUAUGUUCCCACUGUGCUCCUUACGGGCGGUCACUAGGAUUGGCUCCGACCACGUCCCCUUGCUGUUUGCGUCAGGGGAAGGGUCCCCACCGAGAUCUAGACGCUUCUAUUUCAAACCAUCAUGGCUCCUGCAGCCGGGGUUCGUCGAGAUGGUUCAGGACCGUUGGGUGCAGGCUACUCUAACCUCGCCUCGGUCCUUCUAUGCCACAGACGUUUGGCAUCACUUCUCCAAAGUCAUCCGCCAGUUUAUGCGGGGUUGGGGCGCCAACCUGGGUGCUGCCCUGAGAUCCCGCAAAGGGGCGCUCCUUGACCAGAUUAAGGCCUUAGACGAGACUGCUGAUUCAGUCGGUCUGUCGGCAGACGAAUGGUUGCAGCGAUACGCCCUUGAAGCCUCCCUUAUGGAGAUUUUCAAGGGGGAGGAACUAUUCUGGCAGCGACGGGGGGGCUAG
rnacentral:rRNA from 1 species